CCUACGGGAGGCAGCAGUAGGGAAUUUUUCACAAUGGGCGAAAGCCUGAUGGAGCAACGCCGCGUGCAGGAUGAAGGCCUUCGGGUUGUAAACUGCUUUUAUAAGCGAUAAAUAUGUUGGUAACUUAUGAAUAAGGAUCGGCUAACUACGUGCCAGCAGCCGCGGUCAUACGUAGGAUCCGAGCAUUAUCCGGAGUGACUGGGUGUAAAGAGUUGCGUAGGUGGCAUAAUAAGUAGCUAGUGAAAUCUGGUGGCUCAACCAUUCAGACUAUUAGCUAAACUGUUAAGCUCGAGACCGUUAGGGGUAACUGGAAUUUCUAGGGUAGGAGUGAAAUCCGUAGAUAUUAGAAGGAACACCAAUAGCGUAGGCAGGUUGCUGGGACGGUUCUGACACUAAGGCACGAAAGCGUAGGGAGCAAACGGGAUUAGAUACCCCAGUAGUC
rnacentral:rRNA from 1 species